ensembl:lncRNA
GGAAAGAACAAAACCACUAAAAAGGGGAAACAGGCUAAAUGUCUGAGUGAAUGUCCAAGGCUAACGAUUUUCUAUCCAAACCUGCAUACAUUUUUGGUCCAUAGAAAUUACAGACAUUUAAGAGGGAGACCAUUGAAAGGCUUCUGAAGGCUUACGAAACCCUUUGGUCAAGGGGCAGCCUUCAACUAGUUCUUCAGAAAUAGCAGGCUGAACAUCCCAUAUAAUAUCACAGAUAAGAUGGAUACAAAAUAGCCCGAAGAAAAUGGACAGAUGUGUGAUUUAUUCAGGUGCCUUUCCGCGAUAGCUACAGGAGAGAAGAAGAGGGGAGAUCUGCAGGAGAUUUCCUUUGGGAGUGUUCGAUGCGUAUUUCGAACAUGUUAGCAAGCAGGAAGGAGGCGUGAAGUAAUCAUGUGGAACUGGAAACAAUCUGACACGAUAGAGAACAGAGAGAGAGAGA